rnacentral:rRNA from 1 species
CGGGAGGCAGCAGUAGGGAAUAUUGGACAAUGGGCGCAAGCCUGAUCCAGCAAUGCCGCGUGAGCGAUGAAGGCCUUAGGGUUGUAAAGCUCUUUUACCCGGGAUGAUAAUGACAGUACCGGGAGAAUAAGCCCCGGCUAACUCCGUGCCAGCAGCCGCGGUAAUACGGAGGGGGCUAGCGUUGUUCGGAAUUACUGGGCGUAAAGCGCACGUAGGCGGCUGUUCAAGUCAGAGGUGAAAGCCCGGGGCUCAACCCCGGAAUUGCCUUUGAAACUAGACAGCUUGAAUCACGGAGAGGUGGGUGGAAUUCCGAGUGUAGAGGUGAAAUUCGUAGAUAUUCGGAAGAACACCAGUGGCGAAGGCGGCCCACUGGACGUGUAUUGACGCUGAGGUGCGAAAGCGUGGGGAGCAAACAGGAUUAGAUACCCUAGU